UCCUACGGGGGGCUGCAGUAGGGAAUAUUGGUCAAUGGGUGAGAGCCUGAACCAGCCAUGCCGCGUGCAGGAAGAAGGCCUUCUGGGUUGUAAACUGCUUUUGCCAGGGGAUAAAAGAUCCCUGCGGGGAAAAUUGAAGGUACCUGGUGAAUAAGCCACGGCUAACUACGUGCCAGCAGCCGCGGUAAUACGUAGGUGGCAAGCGUUGUCCGGAUUUAUUGGGUUUAAAGGGUGCGUAGGCGGUUCUGUAAGUCAGUGGUGAAAUACGGCAGCUUAACUGUCGAGGUGCCAUUGAUACUGCGGGACUUGAGUACAGACGAGGUAGGCGGAAUUGACGGUGUAGCGGUGAAAUGCUUAGAUAUCGUCAAGAACACCGAUAGCGAAGGCAGCUUACUAGACUGUAACUGACGCUGAGGCACGAAAGUGUGGGGAUCAAACAGGAUUAGAUACCCCGGUAGUC
rnacentral:rRNA from 1 species